rnacentral:rRNA from 1 species
GGGCAUGAUCUCUUUAAUGACCUUCCGUAGGGUGAACCUGCGGAAGGAUCAUUA